rnacentral:rRNA from 1 species
GAUGAACGCUGGCGGCGUGCCUAAUACAUGCAAGUCGAGCGAACGGACGAGAAGCUUGCUUUUCUGAUGUUAGCGGCGGACGGGUGAGUAACACGUGGAUAACCUACCUAUAAGACUUGUAUAACUUCGGGAAACCGGAGCUAAUACCGGAUAAUAUUUUGAACCGCAUGGUUCAAAAGUGAAAGACGGUCUUGCUGUCACUUAUAGAUGGAUCCGCGCUGCAUUAGCUAGUUCGUAAGGUAACGGCUUACCAAGGCAACGAUGCAUAGCCGACCUGAGAGGGUGAUCGGCCACACUGGAACUGAGACACGGUCCAGACUCCUACGGGAGGCAGCAGUAGGGAAUCUUCCGCAAUGGGCGAAAGCCUGACGGAGCAACGCCGCGUGAGUGAUGAAGGUCUUCGGAUCGUAAAACUCUGUUAUUAGGGAAGAACAGAUGUGUAAGGAACUGUGCACAUAUUGACGGUACCUAAUCAGAAAGCCACGGCUAACUACGUG